AUUGAUCGCUGGCGGAAUGCUUUAGACAUGCAAGUCGAACGUGCAGCACGGGCAUAACCCUGGUGGCGAGUGGCGAACGGGUGAGUAAUACAUCGGAACGUGCCCAGUCGUGGGGGAUAACGUAGCGAAAGUUACGCUAAUGCCGCAUACGAUCUACGGAUGAAAGCGGGGGACCGUAAGGCCUCGCGCGAUUGGAGCGGCCGAUGUCAGAUUAGGUAGUUGGUGAGGUAAAGGCUCACCAAGCCGACGAUCUGUAGCUGGUCUGAGAGGACGACCAGCCACACUGGGACUGAGACACGGCCCAGACUCCUACGGGAGGCAGCAGUGGGGAAUUUUGGACAAUGGGCGCAAGCCUGAUCCAGCCAUUCCGCGUGCAGGACGAAGGCCUUCGGGUUGUAAACUGCUUUUGUACGGAACGAAAAGGCUCUGGUUAAUACCUGGGGCUCAUGACG
rnacentral:rRNA from 1 species